UACAGAGGGUGCGAGCGUUGUUCGGAAUUAUUGGGCGUAAAGAGCUCGUAGGCGGUCUGUCGCGUCUGCUGUGAAACUCGGGGCUUAACCCCGGGCCUGCAGUGGAUACGGGCAGACUAGAGGUAGGUAGGGGAGAAUGGAAUUCCCGGUGUAGCGGUGAAAUGCGCAGAUAUCGGGAGGAACACCGGUGGCGAAGGCGGUUCUCUGGGCCUUACCUGACGCUGAGGAGCGAAAGCGUGGGGAGCGAACAGG
rnacentral:rRNA from 1 species